rnacentral:rRNA from 1 species
CCAAGGCUAAAUACUCCUGACUGACCGAUAGUGAACCAGUACCGUGAGGGAAAGGCGAAAAGAACCCCGGCGAGGGGAGUGAAAAAGAACCUGAAACCGUGUACGUACAAGCAGUGGGAGCACCCUUCGGGGUGUGACUGCGUACCUUUUGUAUAAUGGGUCAGCGACUUAUAUUCUGUAGCAAGGUUAACCGUAUAGGGGAGCCGUAGGGAAACCGAGUCUUAACCGGGCGUUAAGUUGCAGGGUAUAGACCCGAAACC